GCCCUGGUAGUGUAGCCUGGCUCAGUAUUUUAAGGCUAAAAUGCUGUAGGAACUAUCAUGAAGCCCUGUCACGGCUUCGACCCGGGUUCAAAUCCCGGCCAGGGCG
rnacentral:tRNA from 1 species